UGGGGGACAGAGUGACAGGUGGUGCAUGGUUGUCGUCAGCUCGUGUCGUGAGAUGUUGGGUUAAGUCCCGCAACGAGCGCAACCCUUGAUCUUAGUUGCCAGCAUUCAGUUGGGCACUCUAAGGUGACUGCCGGUGACAAACCGGAGGAAGGUGGGGAUGACGUCAAAUCAUCAUGCCCCUUAUGACCUGGGCUACACACGUGCUACAAUGGACAGAACAAAGGGCUGCGAGACCGCAAGGUUUAGCCAAUCCCACAAAUCUGUUCUCAGUUCGGAUCGCAGUCUGCAACUCGACUGCGUGAAGCUGGAAUCGCUAGUAAUCGCGGAUCAGCAUGCCGCGGUGAAUACGUUCCCGGGUCUUGUACACACCGAGA
rnacentral:rRNA from 1 species